GAAUAUUAGUCAAUGCUCGCAAGAGUGAACUAGCUAACUGAAAUCAUAUAAGUGUCUUAUGUGAUGUCGUAAGGGAAAAUAAUGAUAUUACCUUACUAAUAGUGUCGUCUAAAACUGGUGCCAGAAGACUCGGUAAGGCCAGAGACACAAAUGUUAAUCGUCUUAAUCAGGCGUAAAGGGUUUGUAGGCUGCUUUGAAAGUAUUGAUUUAAAAUAGCCAAAGUAAAUCAAUAUUAAUUAAAGCUAGAAUCUAAUAGAGGAUAUUUACGAAAUAAUGCUUGGUCGAGGGCUGAUAUCCGAAGACAUCAAGUGGAAUUCCAAUGGCGUAAGCAUUUAUCCAUUAAAGAUUGACGCUGAGAAACGAAGGUGAGGAUAGGAAAUAGGAUUAGAUACCCAGAUACCCCUCUCUGUCAACGAUGAAUGGUAGUUUGUUAGUUUAUUGAAACUAGUGACGAAGUUAACACGAUAACCAUUCCGCCUUGUGAGUACGACUGCAAAGUUGAAAACAAAAAAAUUAGUCGGUCUCGGAGCAAACGAAGUGAAGUAUGUUAUUUAAU
rnacentral:rRNA from 1 species